rnacentral:rRNA from 1 species
GACGAACGCUGGCGGCAUGCCUAACACAUGCAAGUCGAACGGAGUUUCUUAAAUGGAUUUCUUCGGAAUGAAGCUUUUGAAACUUAGUGGCGGACGGGUGAGUAACGCGUGGGUAACCUGCCCUUUUGUGGGGAACAACUUCGAGAAAUCGGAGCUAAUACCGCAUAUACUUACGGGAUCGCAUGAUCCUGUAAGGAAAGAUGGCCUCUGAAUAUGCUAUCGCAAAAGGAUGGGCUCACGUCUGAUUAGCUAGUUGGUGAGGUAACGGCUCACCAAGGCUUCGAUCAGUAGCCGGACUGAGAGGUUGAACGGCCACAUUGGGACUGAGAUACGGCCCAGACUCCUACGGGAGGCAGCAGUGGGGAAUAUUGGGCAAUGGGCGCAAGCCUGACCCAGCAAUGCCGCGUGAAGGAAGAAGGCCUUCAGGUUGUAAACUUCUUUUAUGAGGGACGAAUACAUGACGGUACCUCAUGAAUAAGCCACGGCUAACUACGUGCCAGCCGCCGCAGUAACAC